UACAGAGGGUGCAAGCGUUGUUCGGAAUUACUGGGCGUAAAGCGCGUGUAGGCGGUAUGGUAAGUCUUGUGUGAAAGCCCUGGGCUUAACCCAGGAAGUGCGCAAGAUACUGCCAAACUUGAGUGAUGGAGAGGAUGGCGGAAUUCCCGGUGUAGAGGUGAAAUUCGUAGAUAUCGGGAGGAACACCUGUGGCGAAGGCGGCCAUCUGGACAUCAACUGACGCUGAGACGCGAAAGCAUGGGGAGCAAACAGG
rnacentral:rRNA from 1 species